AACGUAGGAGGCGAGCGUUAUCCGGAUUCACUGGGCGUAAAGCGCGCGUAGGCGGUUGAUCAAGUCGGACGUGAAAGCCCCUGGCUCAACUGGGGGAGGUCGUUCGAUACUGGUCGGCUUGAGGGUGAGAGGGGAAAGUGGAAUUCCCGGUGUAGCGGUGGAAUGCGUAGAGAUCGGGAGGAACACCAGUGGCGAAGGCGGCUUUCUGGCUCACCCCUGACGCUGAGAGCGCGAAAGCGUGGGGAGCAAACGGG
rnacentral:rRNA from 1 species